UAUUUUCUUCUCCGGAAACAGUUUUUCGGAUUUCUUUCUUGCGCCGUCGGCAUCAUUAACAACAAAGCUUUGGAUUGAUACCAAACAGAAGAAGUCUGAUUUUUGCAUUGGAUAUUGCUUUAUUCUUAUGGCAUUGGCAGCAUGCGUGGGUGCUCUAAUAGCAGCAUUUCAAACGCUGCUUGAUGCGGUUAUAGCAGUGAAGGCGGAAGCUACCAUGUUUAAGCCUCCCCUUGAAAAUAUCAAAUCCACACUAGACUCCUUACAGCCAAUGAUCGAAGAGAUAGAAAAAUAUAUCUCAAAGGAGGGGCUAGAAAAUUAUGCAAUGCAAAUGGAGGAAGGGGUAAAUCUUGUUCGCAAGUGCAGCAAGGUUGGUGUGUGGCGCUGCUGCAGGAGAUACAGAUACACCAAAAAACUUGAUGAAUUGGAUAGAUGUCUUCAAAGACUAGUGGAUGUGUUGAAAGUGCAGGGCAUAAGGGAUGUCAGGGAGACCUUGGUUUCGUUAAGGAAUAUAGAGACGGUGCUGCAUCGUAUCGAAGGGAACUUAGUGAUGCAAAAUCAGUUUGAAAAAAUCAAUGGUUGGCCUGCUGUGCCUGAACCUCCACAGGUUACUGUCGGGUUGGAUGUGCCAGUGAAGGAAUUGAGGAUAAAGCUUCUUCAGGAUGAUGUGUCAAUGCUUGUGCUGACUGCUGCUGGUGGAUGUGGGAAAACCACAUUGGCAAAAAAGUUUUGUCAAGAUCAGGAAGUAAAAGAUAAAUUCAAGGACAAUAUCUUCUUUGUCACUCUUUCGAAGAAGCCCAACUUGGACCUUAUUGUACAUGAACUAUAUCAACGGAAGGGUUCCCAGGUGCCUGCUUUCCAAAACGAAGUAAUUGCGGUUAACUGGUUGCAACAUUUUCUGAAGGAAACAGGACAAAGUCCUUUACUGAUUGUCCUGGAUGAUGUUUGGUCAGGAUCAGAGUCCCUUCUUGAGAAGUUUGAUCAAUUCAAAAUGUCAAAUUACAAAGUUUUGGUCACGUCAAGAUUUGCAUUUCCAAGAUUUGGUUCUCCAUAUCAUUUGGAAUCAUUGAAUGAUGAAGAUGCAAUGGCUCUUUUUCAUCAUUCAGCAUCCUUGGAUGAUAAGACCUCUUAUGCUCGGGAAGACCUUUCGAGAAAGAUAGUAGAGCUCUGUAAGGGAUUUCCACUUGCCAUUACGGAGGUUGGAAGAUCACUUCGCGGCCAGCCUAUAGAGAUUUGGCGAAAAAAAGUAAUGGAAUGGUCUAAAGGUUCUUCUAUACUUGCAUCUAACAGUCAUUUGCUUGCUUGAUGCCUUGGAUACAGAUAAACCUAUCAUCAAGGAAUGUUUCCUUGACCUGUGCUCAUUUCCUAGAGACCAAAGGAUCUCUGCUGCCAACCUCGUAGAUAUGUGGGCAGAGUUAUAUGGCCUAGAUGAACCCAGUCUGUCCAUUGCGAACCUCUACGAACUAACCACGCAGAGUUUAGCUAAUCUUGUAGCCACAGGGAAUGAGAGAGAGCCGGAUGGCUAUUACACUGAACACUUUGUUACCCAACAUGAUAUGCUUAGGGAGUUGGCUAUUCAUCAAGCGAAUCAAGACCCAAUAGAACAGAGAAAAAGACUAAUUAUAAAGACAUGUGGAGACAAUCUUCCUAUGUGGUUGGCAGAGCAAAAGCAUCAGCCCCUCCAGGCUCGACUAUUAUCAAUCUCAACUGAUGGAGAGUUCUCAAAAAAAUGGCCAAACAUGCAACUACCAAAAGCAGAGGUUCUAGUUCUAAAUUUUGAAACAAAGAGCUACGCCUUACCCGAAUUUGUGAAGAAAAUGGAUAAUUUAAAGGUUUUAAUAGUCACAAAUUACGGUUUCUUACCUUCUGAGUUAAAUAAUUUUCAAUUACUUGGUUCGUCAUCAAAUCUGAAGAGAAUUAGAUUGGAACACAUUUCAAUUCCUUCCAUAAGCAAGAACCUCAAACAUUUGAAAAGUGUACAGAAGAUAUCUUUAUUCAGGUGUAGCAUUGGUCAAGCUUUUGGUAAAGGUUCCAUUCAAAUUCUAGAUGCAUUACCAAAUCUAGCCGAAAUGCACAUAGAUUAUUGCCAUGAUCUGGUGGAAUUGCCCGCGGAACUUUGUGAUCUUAUUCGCCUUAAGAAGCUUAGCAUCACCAACUGUCAUAAGUUAUCCGCCUUGCCUGAAAAUAUUGGAAAGCUAGUCAGUUUGGAAGUGUUGAGGCUCAGGUCAUGUACAGAUUUGUUAGAGUUGCCAGGCACGAUUAGGAACCUUAAAAUGUUAAACUUUCUCGACAUAUCCUAUUGCUUUAGCAUUAAGGAGUUGCCUGAACACAUUGGUGAGAUGUGCAGUUUAAAAAAGCUCAACAUGAGACAAUGCUCAAGAUUGCAAGAUCUGCCUGCAUCAGUUUUGGACCUUGAGCAGUUGAAGAAUGUGACAUGUGAUGAGGAGACAGAACUUUUAUGGGAACCCUUCUUACCCCUUCUCAAAAACAUACACAUAAAGGUGGUCAAAGAAGAUAUCAAGCUAAAUUGGCUCCACAAGCUUCCAUCUUGAGAUUUUUAUUUUUUAUUUUGUAAAUAGUUGAGCUAUAACUUUGUAAAUAGUUGAGCUAUAGCUUUGUUACAAACGUCUCUUAUGUGGUCGUCAAUGGCCCCACUACUUUCAGUGUGGAAUUGUUACUAAAGUUUCCUAAAAAGAACACUUAUAAUUU